AUAAGUAAUGUGAAUUGCAGAAUUCAGUGAAUCAUCGAAUCUUUGAACGCACCUUGCGCCCUUUGGUAUUCCGAAGGCACACCUGUUUGAGUGUCGUGA
rnacentral:rRNA from 2 species